ACUGAAUAGAUACCCCGGUAGUCCUGGCCUUAAACGAUGGAUGCUUGGUGUCCGAGGUUACAUAGUCCUCGGGUGCCGGCGCUAAACGCAUUAAGCAUCCCGCCUGGGGAGUACGGUCGCAAGACUGAAACUCAAAGGAAUCGACGGGGACCCGCACAAGCGGUGGAGCAUGUGGUUUAAUUCGACGCAACGCGAAGAACCUUACCUGGGCUAGAAUGCCUCUGACAACCCUAGAGAUAGGGCCUUCUGGGUAAAACCAGACGGAGUGCAAGGUGCUGCAUGGCUGUCGUCAGCUCGUGUCGUGAGAUGUUGGGUUAAGUCCCGCAACGAGCGCAACCCUUGUCAGUAGUUGCCAGCGGUUCGGCCGGGCACUCUACUGAGACUGCCGUUGGUAAAACGGAGGAAGGUGGGGAUGACGUCAAGUCCUCAUGGCCUUUAUGUCCAGGGCUACACACGUGCUACAAUGGCAGGUACAAACCGCUGCAAACUCGCAAGAGGGAGCCAAUCGGAAAAAGCCUGUCUCAGUUCGG
rnacentral:rRNA from 1 species